AUACGGAGGGUGCAAGCGUUGUUCGGAAUCACUGGGCAUAAAGGGCGCGCAGGCGGUUUGGUAAGUCAGAUGUGAAAGCCCACGGCUCAACCGUGGAAGUGCAUUUGAAACUGUCAGACUUGAGUACUAGAGGGGAAAGUGGAAUUCCCGGUGUAGAGGUGAAAUUCGUAGAUAUCGGGAGGAAUACCGGUGGCGAAGGCGACUUUCUGGCUAGAUACUGACGCUGAGGCGCGAAAGCGUGGGGAGCAAACAGGAUUAGAUACCCGUGUAGUCC
rnacentral:rRNA from 1 species